rnacentral:rRNA from 1 species
CAUCUGGGGGAUCGCUCGGCUCGAGAACCGAAGAAGGUCGUGACAAGCUGCGAUAAGUUGCGGGGAGACGCAUGAGUGUCUAGGAUCCGCAAAUAGCUGAAUGGGACUUCCUAUCCCUUAGGGGAUAAUCGCAAUAGCGAUAGGGAACCCCCCGAAUUGAAGCAUCUUAGUAGGGGGAGGAAAAGAAAUCAAUUGAUACUCCGUGAGUAGUGGCGAACGAAAACGGACUAGGACAAACCGAAUCUCGACUGGAAACUGAGAGACAUGUGGUGCGACCAUUUAUUGCCUAAAUCACUGAAAUAGAAAUCGUCUGGAACGACAUAGCCAUAGAGGGUGAAAGUCCCGUAUAUGUAGGUGACAUGGCCACGUAAUGAGUCAGGAGUAGCAUGCGUUGGAUAUCGCGUGUGAAGACGGGAGGCAGGAACUUCCAAUCCUAAGUAUAUCUCGAGACCGAUAGUUUACAAGUAACGUGAGUGAAAGCUGAAAAGAAUCCUUAGCGGGAUGUGAAAAGAACGUGA